AGCGAACGCUGGCGGCAGGCCUAACACAUGCAAGUCGAACGAACUCUUCGGAGUUAGUGGCGGACGGGUGAGUAACACGUGGGAACGUGCCUUUUGGUUCGGAAUAACUCAGGGAAACUUGUGCUAAUACCGAAUGUGCCCUUCGGGGGAAAGAUUUAUCGCCAUUAGAGCGGCCCGCGUCUGAUUAGCUAGUUGGUGAGGUAACGGCUCACCAAGGCGACGAUCAGUAGCUGGUCUGAGAGGAUGACCAGCCACACUGGGACUGAGACACGGCCCAGACUCCUACGGGAGGCAGCAGUGGGGAACCUUGCGCAAUGGGCGAAGGCCUGACGCAGCCAUGCCGCGUGAAUGAUGAAGGUCUUAGGAUUGUAAAAUUCUUUCACCGGGGACGAUAAUGACGGUACCCGGAGAAGAAGCCCCGGCUAACUUCGUG
rnacentral:rRNA from 1 species